ACAGCUUUCCAGUGCCAGCUUAAACAUCGAGGACUCCCUGCCACCAUAAAGCUAUAAUUGCUGAAUUAAUAACAGCGGGUUUUGGAGAGUGACUGCACGGACUCUCUGACCCAGAAUUUUGUUAACGACAGCUGAAGAAACACUCCCUCCCCUUCCAACUCAGGAACAAAUUCUGCAGCUGCUGCUCUUCACCUACGGCGCUGCCUCGUGGCCAUCACGGCACUCAUGAGGACAGGGAUAAAGUGACUGCUCCUUUGAAACAGGAUGAUUGGAAGUUAACCAAAAUGGUUCAUAAAUAGUAACGUCCCGUUGUCCUGGAAAAAGUUCAUUUUUUCUCCUUUUCCUUCUCUUUGUCGUCGCCCUCAUUCUCUGCACUCUCAUGGUUUAAGAGCUCCAUGAGCGUUUUGAAGGCACAGGCUGUGCUUUUCCCUCCUGGAAAUGACUGCGGAGGAGGGGCCAGGCCCAGGAAGGGACCUGGCUGUUACCCACACCCGUCCUGCCGACGCGCUGUUCCAAGAGCAAACAUUCCAAGCCUUACAGCUCGUAGGCACUGUGAAAGUGUGGGCGAUAUGGAAUAUGUGUUAUUGCCUCUCCAAGUCCGGUGACUCAGCACCGCAUGCAGUGUUGGAUUCCUGCCUUGGUCCAGUGCACCGAGUCUUGCCGGUUUCCUGAAGAGAGUCAACGCAGGUUCAGCCAGAGCUUUGCCAUUGCUGUGCCUUUACCAGAAGGACUUCCAAGAGCAGCGCUUUCAGUGGCCGUUGGGCCCUGACACGACGGCGUCUAACAAACCGAUUGAAAACUUGAGUUUUCUUGGUGGGUGCAUUGAACCGUCUGCAAGUCCUGUAGAUAUGGUGUAGUUAAUGUUAUAAAUUAAUCAGAGAUAUGAGAGAAAUCUGGUUGUAGGAGAAGGGACCCCCUGGCUGUGGGCUUCCGCAGAAAUCUUUCUGA